rnacentral:misc_RNA from 1 species
UUAAGUUCAGCGGGUAUUCCUACCUGAUUUGAGGUCAAGUUUGUCAAGUUAUUUUCGUCGUUGUAAGCAGCGCAAUCUGUUCAUGCAGCAUACCAAAGGCAUAGAUAAUUUAUCACACCUAUAGUAGCAGCUCAGAUGCCACUAAUGCGUUUCAGGGGAGCCGACUUAAUACAAAGCCUGCAAAAUAUAAAACCCCCACA